rnacentral:rRNA from 1 species
UACGAGGGGGGGCAAGCGUUUGUUCGGAAUUAUUGGGCGUAAAGGGUGCGUAGGCGGUUUGGUAAGUCUUAUGUGAAAUCUACAGGCUCAACUUGUAGUCUGCAUGAGAAACUGCCGGGCUUGAGUAUGGGAGAGGUGAGUGGAAUUCCUGGUGUAGCGGUGAAAUGCGUAGAUAUCAGGAGGAACACCUGUGGCGAAAGCGGCUCACUGGACCAUAACUGACGCUGAUGCACGAAAGCUAGGGGAGCAAACAGG